rnacentral:lncRNA from 1 species
AUCAAUGCAGCCAACAAAGAAGAAACAAGCAACCAAGAGUAAAAACAAAGUGAUAAAAAAAGGAAAAGGGAAAUACUAAUACGUAUAUAUGUGGUUAAAACUCAGGAAAGCUGGGAUAUGUAUAUAUAUAUAUAUAUAUAUAUAUAUAUAUAUAUAUAUAUAUUAUUUNAGCUGGGAUAUGUAUAUAUAUAUAUAUAUAUAUAUAUAUAUAUAUAUAUAUUUACUCUUUACUUACAGAAGAAGAAGAAGAAGAAGAAGAAUAGGAAGAAUAGGAAGGAACGGUUGCUUUUACUGCGAAAAUUGGGUUUGUUAAUGACAGGUUUUGAAUAGCCAAGGCAUUGGUUUCAUGCCAUACAUUUAUGUCAUUUUGAACUGAAAGUGAAACGUAAUUGUUGAAUAUGACUGAAAGCAUUAGAUAUUUUGUGUGCGUUGUAAGAAAGAGAGUGGUUGGGAGGGGAAGAAAAAGAUGGUGCUACCGACACGAGUCGGUUGGUUACUGGGCUGAAGAGGGAAAGGUUGUUAGUGGUUAGGCUUGCCUAAGCUUGGGCUUAUUGACCAAUGCCUCUGGAUUUGAAAGCUUUUGGUUCCAAUGCUAUCUGUGUUGGAAAUCUAUCUUGACCUUUCUGAGAGAUCUUUGAAGUAACAAUAAUUGUUUUUUUUCUUUUAAUUCUGACACCGGUUGAAAGUUUGCAGAUGAGGUUUGGAGACUGAGGAGAAGAGAGUUAAUUCAAUUGGCAGUUCAUAGUAGGGUUGUGAGUCUCGAUUGUGG